rnacentral:rRNA from 1 species
GGCUGAACACAUGCAAGUCGAGCGGUAGAGAGAAGCUUGCUUCUCUUGAGAGCGGCGGACGGGUGAGUAAUGCCUAGGAAUCUGCCUGGUAGUGGGGGAUAACGUUCGGAAACGGACGCUAAUACCGCAUACGUCCUACGGGAGAAAGCAGGGGACCUUCGGGCCUUGCGCUAUCAGAUGAGCCUAGGUCGGAUUAGCUAGUUGGUGGGGUAAUGGCUCACCAAGGCGACGAUCCGUAACUGGUCUGAGAGGAUGAUCAGUCACACUGGAACUGAGACACGGUCCAGACUCCUACGGGAGGCAGCAGUGGGGAAUAUUGGACAAUGGGCGAAAGCCUGAUCCAGCCAUGCCGCGUGUGUGAAGAAGGUCUUCGGAUUGUAAAGCACUUUAAGUUGGGAGGAAGGGCAGNUAGCUAAUACCUUGCUGUUUUGACGUUACCGACAGAAUAAGCACCGGCUAACUCUGUG